rnacentral:rRNA from 1 species
AUUGAACGCUAGCGGGAUGCUUUACACAUGCAAGUCGAACGAGUGGCGGACGGGUGAGUAAUAUAUCGGAACGUGCCCAGUAGCGGGGGAUAACUACUGGAAACGGAGCUAAUACCGCAUACUAUCGGAUGAACCCAUAGUGGAUUAGCUAGUAGGUGGGGUAAUGGCUCACCUAGGCAACGAUCCGUAGCUGGGUUGAGAGGAAGACCGGCCACACUGGGACUGAGACACGGCCCAGACUCCUACGGGAGGCAGCAGUGGGGAAUUUUGGACAAUGGGGGAAACCCUGAUCCAGCCAUGCCGCGUGUAUGAUGAAGGCCUUCGGGUUGUAAAGUACUUUUGGCAGAGAAGCGGUAUCUGCAGAAUAAGCACCGGCUAACUACGUGCCAGCCGCCGCGGUAAUUC